CUGCGGGCGAAGCAUGGAAAUGUGAUAGAGAUAAUUUGACAGUUAGGGUUCAAUAAAAUGACAGUAAUUUUCGAUAUAUAUCGCUCUUAACAUGCUGGCUCGUUAGAGUAUGAAGUUAGUUAUACAUUUAUAGCAGUAAGUGACCGAGCUGAUAAACGUCAAUUCGCAUAACAUGCUCGUUGGAUACAUUUGACAGAUCGUCCCAUUUUGACAGUUUGGGGAGUUAAUUUUAACUAAGUGGUUCUGAGGUCACGAUAAGCUUUAUCGUCGAAGUAAAACUAGUGAAUCGAUCUAUUUUAAAGUAUAAAUAUCCGGAAAGUCAAAUUAUGCUAUACCUACUCGACGCCGCUGUAGAAGAAAAUUUUGUCGAAAAUUCCAAUACACGGACGCUUCAAGAGACGCUCGCAACCCGUCUGAUAAGUACGAUGAAGAAAUGCAUAAGAAAUGGCAUAAAUAAGUAUUUACAGAGUGCAUAAGGAGGCGACAGUGCAUUUCACAUUCCCCAACUUAACGCCGAGAAUCACAAAUCUAACAACCAUGAUGGAUUACCUAGUGCCCUGAGGUUCUUAAUUACCUAUCCACCCUAGCAGAGCUAGUGCCAACUACCAACACAAAACUAGACAAGAUUAUGGCUCAUCCAUUUGGUAGACUACUGUGAUAUGACCCAGCAUCUCAAUCAAUUGACAUUGUACAUAUCUGCUGUCAACAGAAGGCAAAAAAUUCGUGGUUCAAGAGGAACUAUGGAAGAGGUGCCUCUCGGCCUAUCUAAGCAUGAUGCAAUGCUGCAACUGCUGGCUGUUGUCAAGAGCUGGCGUGCGAGCGUACACAAUAAACAAUUAUUUAGGACA
rnacentral:lncRNA from 1 species